UACGUAGGAGGCAAGCGUUUGUCCGGAAUUACUGGGCGUAAAGCGCGUGUAGGUGGUGGGACAAGUCUGCUGUGAAAGCGCCUGGCUUAACCGGGCGAGGUCGGCGGAAACUGUCCGACUCGAGGACGGUAGAGGGGGGGUGGAAUUCCACGUGUAGCAGUGAAAUGCGUAGAUAUGUGGAGGAAUACCGAUGGCGAAGGCAGCCCCCCUGGGAUAACACUGACGCUCAUGCACGAAAGCGUGGGGAGCAAACAGG
rnacentral:rRNA from 1 species